UCAAUGUUUUUGUUCGCAGUCAGGAGGAUGUUCAGAGUUUGCAGGAUGCUCUGUCACUUUAUGAGAAGGCCACAUCUGCACGGGUGAACUGGGCUAAGAGUGAGGCACUGCUGGUGGGUCGGUGGAGAGAUACAGCGGUGCCCAGUCUGCCAGGGGGACUUGAGUGGGGGAAAGAAGGGUUAAAAGUUUUGGGUGUGUUUUUGGGUACGGAGGGGUUUGUGCAGAAGAACUGGGAGGGAGUGAGGGAGAAGGUGUGCGCUCGGUUGUCUAAAUGGCGGUGGUUGCUACCUCGGCUGUCCUAUAGGGGCAGAGUUUUGGUUGCCAAUAACUUG